GCCAGAAAUCUAGCCUACCCCUUCCCCACCCCACAUGAUUACACCCCAUUAAAAUAUUUUAACAUUUAAGUAGGGACGACUAAAAAACUAAUAUUAGAGCUAUACUUAAGUACCGCAAGGGAAAGAUGAAACAGUAAUGAAACAUCACAAAGCAUAAAAAAGUAAAGAUUAACCCUUGUACCUUUUGCAUCAUGGUUUAACUAGUAUAAUCAAGCAAAAAGAUUUUCAGUUUGACCCCCCGAAACUAAAUGAGCUACUUCAGGGCAGCUUACUGAGCUAACCCGUCCCUGUUGCAAAAGGGUGGGGAGACCCUGUGGUAGAGGUGAUAGACCUAACGAAUUUAGUGAUAGCUGGUUACUCAAGAAAAGAAUCUAAGUCCAACCUAAAGCAACCCUAUAAAAUAAACUACCGCUUUGGAGCAAUUCAAAUAAGGUACAGCCUAUUUGACACAGGACACAACCUCGAACAACGGCUAACCUAAAAUUUACCUAAACUAAGUGGGCCUAAAAGCAGCCAUCUUAGAAAAGCGUCAAAGCUUAAUUUUAACUGUAUCUAAUCCCAAAAUUCACAAAGAACCCUUCAUUAGUACUGAGUAAUUCUAUACCAAUAUAGAAAUUUUUAUGUUAAAACUAGUAACAAGAAGACACUUCUCUUUCAAUGCAAACAUAUAUCAGCGGAUCUCCCGCUAAUACUUAUACGACACGACAACAACCCACUAUACUCUCGAAAAUCCUGCCUUUUCAACCGUUAACCUAACACAAGAGCAUUUCAAGAAAGAUUUUUUAAAAAAGAAGGAACUCGGCAAAUAUAGACUCCGCCUGUUUACCAAAAACAUCGCCUCUUGCACAAAUAUAAGAGGUCCGACCUGCCCAGUGAUAUUAAUUCAACGGCCGCGGUAUUCUGACCGUGCUAAGGUAGCACAAUCACUUGUCUCUUAAAUGGGGACUAGUAUGAAAGGCCCCACGAGGGUCUAACUGUCUCCUUUUUUUAAUCUGUGAAACUAAUCUCCCCGUGAAGAAGCGGGGAUUAUUAUAUAAGACGAGAAGACCCUAUGGAGCUUUAGAUAAAACAAUAUAUUUCCCCCCCCCAUUCCCUGCUAUUUCAGAAAAUCAACUACCAAGGAAUUUUAUUGCUAGUCUUUGGUUGGGGCGGCCGCGGAGAAAAACUUAUCCUCCACGAUGAGUGGGAACUUCCCAUAAUAAAGAGCCACAGCUCAGUGUAUCAAAAAAUUGACAAUUGACCCAAUAUUUGAUCAACGAAACAAGUUACCCUAGGGAUAACAGCGCAAUCUACUUCAAGAGUACUUAUUGACGAGUGGGUUUACGACCUCGAUGUUGGAUCAGGGUGCCCCAGUGGUGCAGCCGCUACUAAAGGUUUGUGUGUUCAACAAUUAAUACCCUACGUGAUCUGAGU
rnacentral:rRNA from 1 species